rnacentral:rRNA from 1 species
AGAGUUUGAUCCUGGCUCAGGAUGAACGCUGGCGGCGUGCUUAACACAUGCAAGUCGAACGAACCUUCGGGUUAGUGGCGGACGGGUGAGUAACGCGUGAGAAUCUGCCCUCAGGAGGGGGAUAACGGUUGGAAACGACCGCUAAUACCCCAUAUGCCUACUGGUGAAAUGAAUUUCGCCUGAGGAUGAGCUCGCGUCUGAUUAGCUAGUUGGUGAGGUAAUGGCUCACCAAGGCUUCGAUCAGUAGCUGGUCUGAGAGGAUGAUCAGCCACACUGGGACUGAGACACGGCCCAGACUCCUACGGGAGGCAGCAGUGGGGAAUUUUCCGCAAUGGGCGAAAGCCUGACGGAGCAACGCCGCGUGAGGGACGAAGGCCUCUGGGCUGUAAACCUCUUUUCUCAAGGAAGAAGAUAUGACGGUACUUGAGGAAUAAGCCACGGCUAAUUCCGUGCCAGCAGCCGCGGUAAUACGGGAGUGGCAAGCGUUAUCCGGAAUUAUUGGGCGUAAAGCGUCCGCAGGCGGCUUUUCAAGUCUGCUGUUAAAGCGUGGAGCUUAACUCCAUCAUGGCAGUGGAAACUGAAAGGCUUGAGUAUGGUAGGGGCAGAGGGAAUUCCCGGUGUAGCGGUGAAAUGCGUAGAUAUCGGGAAGAACACCAGUGGCGAAGGCGCUCUGCUGGGCCAUUACUGACGCUCAUGGACGAAAGCCAGGGGAGCGAAAGGGAUUAGAUACCCCUGUAGUCCUGGCCGUAAACGAUGAACACUAGGUGUCGGGGGAAUCGACCCCUUCGGUGUCGUAGCUAACGCGUUAAGUGUUCCGCCUGGGGAGUACGCACGCAAGUGUGAAACUCAAAGGAAUUGACGGGGGCCCGCACAAGCGGUGGAGUAUGUGGUUUAAUUCGAUGCAACGCGAAGAACCUUACCAGGGUUUGACAUCCUGCGAACCUCUUAGAAAUUUGAGGGUGCCUUCGGGAAUGCAGUGACAGGUGGUGCAUGGCUGUCGUCAGCUCGUGUCGUGAGAUGUUGGGUUAAGUCCCGCAACGAGCGCAACCCUCGCUAUCAGUUGCCAGCAUUUAGUUGGGCACUCUGAUGGAACUGCCGGUGACAAGCCGGAGGAAGGUGGGGAUGACGUCAAGUCCUCAUGGCCCUUACGGGCUGGGCUACACACGUGCUACAAUGGCGGUGACAGUGGGCUGCGAAUCAGCAAUGAUGAGCUAAUCCCUAAAAGCCGUCUCAGUUCGGAUUGUCCUCUGCAACUCGAGGGCAUGAAGUUGGAAUCGCUAGUAAUCGUGGAUCAGCGUGCCACGGUGAAUACGUUCUCGGGCCUUGUACACACCGCCCGUCACACCAUGGGAGUUGGUUUUACCUUAAGCCGGUGCGCUAACCUUCGGGAAGCAGCCGACCACGGUAAGGUCAGCGACUGGGGUGAAGUCAUAACAAGGUAGCCGUA